UUUAAAAUUAAUUUUGUAACGAUCUGAUUAAAACGGUAUUGAAAUUUUGAGAAAGUAUUUACAUCUGUUUCUAUAAGAAUUCUAAUAAAGUAAAUACCGUACGAUAUGGAUAGUGAUAAUGAUUUUACAAGUGCAACUGGAGCGAUGAUGGAAAGUAUGAAAUGCAUUGUAGGCGAAUUUAAUGAACGAUGUUCGAAUAUGUCGAUUCUUUUUGAUACCUUUUUAUCAGAAACGUUAAAUUAUGGAGGUAAUAGAAUAAAAUAGCUUAAAAAGCAUAGAGGAGGCGAUUUUGCACGAAAAAAAUCAUGAACAGUCUAAACAUAAAUCUAUUGAAAGUCGCAUUAAUAGAAAUACUGAAUAUCUAAAAAAACGAGAAGUCGAAUUAGAAAGAAUAAAAGCAGAGAAGACUAACAAAGAAGAAGAAUUAUCAGAACUGGAGAGACAAGUAAAAAAACAACGAGAAAAUAUAGCAUCCAGAUUAGAACUGAAGGAACGUAUUAAGGCGAAAAAAGAUGAAAUAUUAACAUACAAACUUCUAACAAGGACCAGUUUCGAUUAUUCAGGAAAAAAAGUUACAGGAUUGGUGUCUAAUGAGAGAUUGAAAUAUUUUAAGUUGGAUCCUGAAAAGUUAAGUCAAGACGAAAUAACUCAAGCUUUGUGGCAGUUGAUUAUUGACGAUGAAGACAACACUAAAAAAUAACAUUUUGGUAUUUUUAAGUUAAGUCUAAUGUCAUUAAUAUAUUCAAUUUUUUCUUUUAGAGCGAUAGGAGUGAAAUAAAUUUGCACUUGUCACUGUUAAAAAUGAUACGGUAAAUAAUAUACAUAACACAACAACUAAGAACAUUCCCUGGCCAAAUAUAGCACUGAAGAUUGUAAAUAUUCCUAAAAAAACAAACAAACUAAUGAAGUUUACAAAUAAAUGUUAUAUUAACGAUUAAA